GUGGGGAAUUUUGGACAAUGGGCGCAAGCCUGAUCCAGCAAUGCCGCGUGCAGGAAGAAGGCCUUCGGGUUGUAAACUGCUUUUGUACGGAACGAAACGGCUCUGGUUAAUACCCGGGGCUAAUGACGGUACCGUAAGAAUAAGCACCGGCUAACUACGUGCCAGCAGCCGCGGUAAUACGUAGGGUGCAAGCGUUAAUCGGAAUUACUGGGCGUAAAGCGUGCGCAGGCGGUUUUGUACGACAGGCGUGAAAUCCCCGGGCUCAACCUGGGAAUGGCGCUUGUGACUGCAAAGCUGGAGUGCGGCAGAGGGGGAUGGAAUUCCGCGUGUAGCAGUGAAAUGCGUAGAUAUGCGGAGGAACACCGAUGGCGAAGGCAAUCCCCUGGGCCUGCACUGACGCUCAUGCACGAAAGCGUGGGGAGCAAACAGGAUUAGAUACCCGUGUAGUCC
rnacentral:rRNA from 1 species